rnacentral:rRNA from 1 species
AGAUUGAACGCUGGCGGAAUGCUUUACACAUGCAAGUCGAACGGCAGCACGGGGGCAACCCUGGUGGCGAGUGGCGAACGGGUGAGUAACACAUCGGAACGUGCCCAGUCGUGGGGGAUAACGUACGCGAAAGCGUAGCUAAUACCGCAUACGAACUCUGGUUGAAAGCGGGGGACUCGCAAGAGCCUCGCGCGAUUGGAGCGGCCGAUGGCAGAUUAGGUAGUUGGUGGGGUAAAGGCU